rnacentral:lncRNA from 1 species
AUUUACGAUAGUUUGUAAUCAAUCUCAUGGUUCUCAUGGUUUUAUCUAUUGGGACUCUUUUUCGAUACAAGGUAACACGUUCAUGGUUAGCUACAACUAUAUUUACGGCUUGACGUUUAGAGUAUCCAAAACAAUCCAUCUCGGUUCGAUUUUUCAACACGAUCAGACUCAAAUUUAUAAUCAAAACAAUUCUUAAAUUGUACUUACUUUAAAUAUAUAUGUAUAGACAAAUGAACCACACGUCAAUGGUCCCGUGUUAUAAUUAUCACAUGAACUCCAUCCAAAUUACUAGUUGCA